CUCAACAAAGUCAAUCCUGGUGCUAUCCUCAAGGUGAUGGUCAUGCUUGAAGCACUAAUUCUAACCUUAACUGUGGUUUGCUCUAUAACUGGAUGCACCUUUUGGGCUUCUAAGAAUGGUCAAGACUUCAGCUUUUUGGGACUAAUUUUAUUCACCAGCCUUAUUAUGCUCAUCCUAACCAGUUGUAUCCAGGUUAGAUGUCUCAUUUCUCUUUGUUUAUUGAAGCCAUCCAGCCAUGGAUACAGUAGUUUACAAAUAUUGGGAAAUAUAUAGUAUUUUUCUUGCUUUUAUGUUUUAUUAUGAAGGUGUUUCUGUGGCAAUAUAAAAGAUACAAGGUUUUCUUAACUCAAGUAUGAUCCCAAGCCAUUUGCAAUACUGUUCGACUGCAUCAACACAGAGGCCUGCUUCUAGUUUUUGUUAAGAGUUAUUUGAUUUUAUGAUAAUUUAAUUAAAUCUAAAUGUAAUGCUAUUAAUUGUCUUUAAAAAUCUAAUAAAAUAGGUUAUUAACGUUUAAAAAGUUGGAUAAGCCCAUUUUUCAGCUUUCUAAUCCACGGGGUCAUUGCAGUUCUUUUCUUCCUUGUCAAUUUGAGUGAAUAUUCUGCAUUUGUAUUUACUAUUUAAAUAUUAAAUUGAGUGAAUAUUCAGUGCCUUCAAACAGGUGUUUUGGCUUGGGAACAUUACUGUACCUGGUUUUUUCUCUGUUCCUAAACUUUGGUUUUGUGAUUUUUGAAUUCACUACAUCUGCUGAUUGCCCUUUGUGGUGUUGUUGAGUGCUUUGAUAAUUUUAGAAGAAGUUUAUAUUGUGAGACGGAUAUUUGCUAUUGUAUUGUGGGUGCCUGCUCAGUAUUGGUUCCACAAAAUGGCAGAAAGUAAGACCAUGGUUGCUGACGUGAUUCCAGUGAUGACAAACAGUUUUUGAUCACUGGUUCUUCUUUUCUUCCCUUUUGAAAGGGCAUCAGCUGAACCAAGCAAGAGGAAGUCUUGCUUGCUUCCAGAAAAAAAGCUUUUUUAUCACUCAGAAGUCGGAAUGGUAAAUGAUGCCAUCUUCCACCAUUUUUUCUUUUUAACAAUCUCUAUUUAGUUAUGCAAUUUUCAAGAAUCGUAAAAAAUGUUAGUAUACAUUUAUGGCAAUUACCAGGACUGAUGGCUAUUGUUAUUCUUAGGAGAAAAUAUGGUUUAGGGAAUUUGUAAGUCUCAUUGUUUUGAAUGUUAAAAGAAGUACAAGUUUUAGUCCUGUGAAAUCACUGAAAAAGUGAAAAUAUAUCCAUAUUCAAUUAGAAUAAAUAUGGACCACUAGCAUUUUUUUUUUUUUUUAGAGCUAGAAAAUUUCUACACUGACCAUGUAAGUUAAUGACAAGAUAUGAGCUUCCUUUUAGUUCCCUGCCUGUGAAGACCUGCAUCCUGAUGCAAAUCCUUCUUUAGCAGAACCUAAAGGGAGAGAAAAGAGAAUCUAGAGGGUGUAUUCUAGAAGAAGCAAGAAAGUUGUGGAAGGAGGCCAGGUCAGCUUAAUUCCGUUGGAGUGAUUCUCAGGAGUAUGCGAUGCAGCAGCUAGGAAAGCUUAUAUUGAGAGAAUAGAGUUGAGUGGGGGUCAUAACUAUUUUGUGGCUAUUUUCUUCCAGCUAAUAGAUAGCUUGGGGGCAGUGUGAUUACUGCUGGGGUGGGAGAAAGAUCUUGUAUCCAAUUUCACCUGUAUUUUGAAUAUUGAUAAAAAAAAUUCCUCCAUUCUCAUUGCUGCUGCAAUACUCUGUCAUUAUCUCAGUUCCUAACUUGUUUUAGCACUUUUUGAUUCCUUACUCUUUAUCACAUCCGUUGAAGAAGAAUAUGAAGCUGCUGGCGGUGAAGUUCUACUUGAUAAUGAAGAUAAUGAUGGCUGGCUGGCAACUCAUGGGAAACCAAAAGAAACAAAAGGUGAUGAGGAUGAUAAUGUACCGUCGAUGGAGGCCCUAGAGAUCAGCAAAAAGAAUCAUAUUCAAUCAAUACCCUCAUACUUUGGGGGUGAAGAGGAAGAAGAUAUUCCAGACAUGGCAGACUAUGAAGACACUAACAAUCUAAUUGAAACAGAUCCUGCAACACUUCAGUCUGCUUAUCUUGUAGCUCAUGAACCUGAUGAUGACAAUAUUUUACGUACUCGAACAUAUGAUGUCAGCAUCACGUAUGAUAAAUAUUAUCAAACUCCUCGUGUAUGGCUCACUGGAUAUGAUGAGGUUUGUGUUGAUGAGAUUUUUGUUGCUUUUAUUUGUUGCUUAAUAAUUAUUGGGGGGAAAAAUUAUUUUAAACCAAUGAGACAGCAAAUAAAAAUUCACCUGGCUGCAGGUUAUGAUUUGUUGGUAUUAAUAAUUUGUAGAGUCGAUUGCUGAAAUCUAUAGGCUGGUAUCAACAUUUGAAAGGAUUUAACUGGUUCAAUAUGUCAACUGAUAUCUUGUUC
rnacentral:misc_RNA from 1 species